CGGAGCUUGCUCCACCGGAAAAAGAAGAGUGGCGAACGGGUGAGUAACACGUGGGUAACCUGCCCAUCAGAAGGGGAUAACACUUGGAAACAGGUGCUAAUACCGUAUAACAAUCGAAACCGCAUGGUUUUGAUUUGAAAGGCGCUUUCGGGUGUCGCUGAUGGAUGGACCCGCGGUGCAUUAGCUAGUUGGUGAGGUAACGGCUCACCAAGGCUACGAUGCAUAGCCGACCUGAGAGGGUGAUCGGCCACAUUGGGACUGAGACACGGCCCAAACUCCUACGGGAGGCAGCAGUAGGGAAUCUUCGGCAAUGGACGAAAGUCUGACCGAGCAACGCCGCGUGAGUGAAGAAGGUUUUCGGAUCGUAAAACUCUGUUGUUAGAGAAGAACAAGGAUGAGAGUAACUGUUCAUCCCUUGACGGUAUCUAACCAGAAAGCCACGGCUAACUACGUGCCAGCAGCCGCGGUAAUACGUAGGUGGCAAGCGUUGUCCGGAUUUAUUGGGCGUAAAGCGAGCGCAGGCGGUUUCUUAAGUCUGAUGUGAAAGCCCCCGGCUCAACCGGGGAGGGUCAUUGGAAACUGGGAGACUUGAGUGCAGAAGAGGAGAGUGGAAUUCCAUGUGUAGCGGUGAAAUGCGUAGAUAUAUGGAGGAACACCAGUGGCGAAGGCGGCUCUCUGGUCUGUAACUGACGCUGAGGCUCGAAAGCGUGGGGAGCAAACAGGAUUAGAUACCCUGGUAGUCCACGCCGUAAACGAUGAGUGCUAAGUGUUGGAGGGUUUCCGCCCUUCAGUGCUGCAGCUAACGCAUUAAGCACUCCGCCUGGGGAGUACGACCGCAAGGUUGAAACUCAAAGGAAUUGACGGGGGGCCCGCACAAGCGGGUGGAGCAUGUGGUUUAAUUCGAAGCAACGCGAAGAACCUUACCAGGUCUUGACAUCCUUUGACCACUCUAGAGAUAGAGCUUCCCCUUCGGGGGCAAAGUGACAGGUGGUGCAUGGUUGUCGUCAGCUCGUGUCGUGAGAUGUUGGGUUAAGUCCCGCAACGAGCGCAACCCUUAUUGUUAGUUGCCAUCAUUCAGUUGGGCACUCUAGCAAGACUGCCGGUGACAAACCGGAGGAAGGUGGGGAUGACGUCAAAUCAUCAUGCCCCUUAUGACCUGGGCUACACACGUGCUACAAUGGGAAGUACAACGAGUCGCGAAGUCGCGAGGCUAAGCUAAUCUCUUAAAGCUUCUCUCAGUUCGGAUUGUAGGCUGCAACUCGCCUACAUGAAGCCGGAAUCGCUAGUAAUCGCGGAUCAGCACGCCGCGGUGAAUACGUUCCCGGGCCUUGUACACAC
rnacentral:rRNA from 1 species